GGUGAGAUGGCCGAGUUGGUCUAUGGCGCCAGGUUAAGGAACCAUCCUUAGCACAAACCUCCUGGUAGGGAAACCUGCGUGGGUUCGAAUCCCACUCUCAUCA